rnacentral:rRNA from 1 species
AGAGUUUGAUCAUGGCUCAGAUUGAACGCUGGCGGUAUGCUUAACACAUGCAAGUCGAACGGAAACGAUGGUAGCUUGCUACCAGGCGUCAAGUGGCGGACGGGUGAGUAACGCGUAGGAAUCUGCCCAGUAGUGGGGGACAACCAGGGGAAACCCUGGCUAAUACCGCAUAAUCUCUACGGCGAAGGAGGCCUCUUCUUGAAAGCUUUCGCUAUUGGAUGAGCCUGCGUGAGAUUAGCUAGUUGGUAGGGUAAAGGCCUACCAAGGCGACGAUCCGUAGCUGGUUUGAGAGGAUGAUCAGCCACACUGGGACUGAGACACGGCCCAGACUCCUACGGGAGGCAGCAGUGGGGAAUAUUGGACAAUGGGCGAAAGCCUGAUCCAGCAAUACCGCGUGUGUGAAGAAGGCCUGAGGGUUGUAAAGCACUUUCAAUAGGGACGAAAAGCCUAAGUUUAAUACGCUUGGGUCUUGACUUAACCUAUACAAGAAGCACCGGCUAACUCCGUGCCAGCAGCCGCGGUAAUACGGAGGGUGCAAGCGUUAAUCGGAAUUACUGGGCGUAAAGCGCACGUAGGUGGUUUAUUAAGUCAGAUGUGAAAGCCCCGGGCUCAACCUGGGAACUGCAUUUGAAACUGGUAAGCUAGAGUAUGGUAGAGGUAAGUGGAAUUCCAGGUGUAGCGGUGAAAUGCGUAGAUAUCUGGAGGAAUACCAGUGGCGAAGGCGGCUCCCUGGAUUGAUACUGACACUGAGGUGCGAAAGCGUGGGUAGCAAACAGGAUUAGAUACCCUGGUAGUCCACGCCGUAAACGAUGUCAACUAGCUGUUGGAGGACUUAUCCUUUAGUGGCGCAGCUAACGCGUUAAGUUGACCGCCUGGGGAGUACGGCCGCAAGGUUAAAACUCAAAUGAAUUGACGGGGGCCCGCACAAGCGGUGGAGCAUGUGGUUUAAUUCGACGCAACGCGAAGAACCUUACCUACUCUUGACAUCCUCAGAACUUUCCAGAGAUGGAUUGGUGCCUUCGGGAACUGAGUGACAGGUGCUGCAUGGCUGUCAUCAGCUCGUGUCGUGAGAUGUUGGGUUAAGUCCCGUAACGAGCGCAACCCUUGUCCUUAUUUGCCAGCACGUAAGGGUGGGAACUUUAAGGAGACUGCCGGUGACAAACCGGAGGAAGGUGGGGACGACGUCAAGUCAUCAUGGCCCUUAUGAGUAGGGCUACACACGUGCUACAAUGGCCGGUACAGAGGGCAGCGAGACCGCGACGUCAAGCAAAUCCCAGAAAAUGUAUCGUAGUCCGGAUUGGGGUCUGCAACUCGACCCCAUGAAGUCGGAAUCGCUAGUAAUCGCGAAUCAGAAUGUCGCGGUGAAUACGUUCCCGGGCCUUGUACACACCGCCCGUCACACCAUGGGAGUGGGCUGCAAAAGAAGUGGGUAGUUUAACCUUCGGGAGAACGCUCACCACUUUGUGGUUCAUGACUGGGGUGAAGUCGUAACAAGGUA